UUUGAUGCCCAUUACUCUCGCUAUCCGCCCGGGUACUACGAGCACUAGCUUAAAACCCAAAGGACUUGGCGGUGCUUUAGAUCCACCUAGAGGAGCCUGUUCUAGAACCGAUAACCCCCGUUAAACCUCACCCUCCCUUGUUCUUUCCGCCUAUAUACCGCCGUCGUCAGCUUACCCUGCGAAGGAACCACAGUAAGCAAAACUAGUACAACUCAAAACGCCAGGUCGAGGUGUAGCAUAUGAGAGGGGAAGAAAUGGGCUACAUUCCCUGCCACAGGGAAUACGAACAAUGUAAUGAAACGUGCAUUUAAAGGAGGAUUUAGCAGUAAGCAGAAAAUAGAGUG
rnacentral:rRNA from 1 species